rnacentral:rRNA from 1 species
GACCCCAGGUCAGGCGGGACCACCCGCUG